UCGGAGAAUUAGGGUUCGAUUCCGGAGAGGGAGCCUGAGAAACGGCUACCACCUCUAAGGAAGGCAGCAGGCGCGCAAAUUACCCAAUUCUCAAUGAGAGAGGUAGUGAAGAUAAAUAUCAAUGCUGGUCCUUUAUAGGUCUGGUAAUUGGAAUGAGUACAAUUUAAAAUCCUUAACGAGGAUCCAUUGGAGGGCAAGUCUGGUGCCAGCAGCCGCGGUAACACCAGCUCCAAUAGCGUAUAUUAAAGUUGUUGCAGUUAAAAAGCUCGUAGUUGGAUAUCUGGUAUAGGAUGCCUGGCCCGCCCUUUCACGAGGGUGUGUGCCGGCGCAACCUUACCAUCCUUCUGAGAAGCGUGUCUACUCUUUAUUGAGCGGAUACGUGACUCGGAUCAUUUACUUUGAAAAAAUUAGAGUGUUCAAAGCAGGCGUUGCUUGAAUACAUUAGCAUGGAAUAAUAAAAUAGGACUCCGGUUCUAUUUUGUUGGUUUAUAGGACCGAAGUAAUGAUUAAAAGGGACAGUUGGGGGUGCUUGUAUUGGGCGGCCAGAGGUGAAAUUCUUGGAUUCGCUCAAGACAAACUUAUGCGAAAGCAUUCACCAAGGUUGUCUUCUUUAAUCAAGAACGAAAGUUGGGGGAUCGAAGACGAUCAGAUACCGUCGUAGUCUCAACCAUAAACUAUGCCAACCAAGGAUCAGCGGACGUUGUUUAAGACUCCGUUGGUACUUUCCGAGAAAUCAAAGUCUUUGGGUUCCGGGGGGAGUCUGGUCGCAAGGCUGAAACUUAAAGGAAUUGACGGAAGGGCACCACAACGGCGUGGAGCCUGCGGCUUAAUUUGACCCAACACGGGGAAAUUUACCAGGUCCGGACAUAGGCAGGAUAGACAGAUUGCAGAUCUUUCUUGAUUCUAUGGAUGGUGGUGCAUGGCCGUUCUUAGUUGGUGGAGUGAUUUGUCUGGUUAAUUCCGUUAACGAACGAGACCUCAGCCUACUAAAUAGUCAGGUCAACCUUUCGGGGUUGGCUCGUUUACUUCUUAGAGGGACUGUCGGUUUCUAGCCGACAGAAGUGUGAGGCAAUAACAGGUCUGUGAUGCCCUUAGAUGUUCUGGGCUGCACGCGCGCUACACUGUUGCACGCAACGAGCAUCACCCUUGACCGACAGGUCUGGGUAAUCUUUUAAAGUGCAACGUGCUGGGGCUAGAUUAUUGCAAUUAUUAGUCUUCAACCAGGAAUGCCUAGUAAACGCGGGUCAUCAGCUCGCAUUGAUUACGUCCCUGCCCUUUGUACACACCGCCCGUCGCUCCUACCGAUUGAAUGAUCCGGUAAAGUCUUCGGACCGUAGCGCAAGGGUGGGCAACCACCCCUACGCUUCUGGGAAGUUGAUUGAACCUUAUCAUUUAGAGGAAGGAGAAGUCGUAACAAGGUU
rnacentral:rRNA from 1 species